rnacentral:rRNA from 1 species
AUUGAACGCUGGCGGCAGGCCUAACACAUGCAAGUCGAACGAGUGGCGGACGGGUGAGUAAUGUCUGGGAAACUGCCUGAUGGAGGGGGAUAACUACUGGAAACGGUAGCUAAUACCGCAUACCAUCAGAUGUGCCCAGAUGGGAUUAGCUAGUAGGUGGGGUAACGGCUCACCUAGGCGACGAUCCCUAGCUGGUCUGAGAGGAUGACCAGCCACACUGUAACUGAGACACGGUCCGGACUCCUACGGGAGGCAGCAGUGGGGAAUAUUGCGCAAGGGGGGCAACCCUGACGCAGCCAUGCCGCGUGAAUGAAGAAGGCCUUCGGGUUGUAAAGUACUUUCAGCGGGGAGGCGUUACCCGCAGAAGAAGCACCGGCUAACUCCGUGCCAGCAGCCGCGGUAAUAC